UACGGAGGGGGCUAGCGUUGUUCGGAAUUACUGGGCGUAAAGCGCACGUAGGCGGCUUUGUACGUUAGAGGUGAAAGCCCAGGGCUCAACCCUGGAAUUGCCUUUAAGACUGCAUCGCUUGAAUUGUGGAGAGGUAAGUGGAAUUCCGAGUGUAGAGGUGAAAUUCGUAGAUAUUCGGAAGAACACCAGUGGCGAAGGCGACUUACUGGACACAUAUUGACGCUGAGGUGCGAAAGCGUGGGGAGCAAACAGG
rnacentral:rRNA from 1 species